UGGGGGAUUUUGGACAAUGGGCGCAAGCCUGAUCCAGCCAUGCCGCGCGAGUGAAGAAGGCCUUCGGGUUGUAAACCGCUUUUGUCAGGGAAGAAACGAGUUUCUCUAAUACAGAGACUUAAUGACGGUACCUGAAGAAUAAGCACCGGCUAACUACGUGCCAGCAGCCGCGGUAAUACGUAGGGUGCAAGCGUUAAUCGGAAUUACUGGGCGUAAAGCGUGCGCAGGCGGUUAUGCAAGACAGAGUUGAAAUCCCCGGGCUCAACCUGGGAACUGCCUUUGUGACUGCAUGGCUAGAGUACGGUAGAGGGGGAUGGAUUUCCGCGUGUAGCAGUGAAGUGCGUAGAUGUGCGGAGGAACACCGAUGACGAAGGCGAUCCCCUGGACCUGUACUGACGCUCAUGCACGAAAGCGUGGGGAGCAAACA
rnacentral:rRNA from 1 species